rnacentral:rRNA from 1 species
GACGAACGCUUUCUUCGGGCCUAAUACAUGCAAGUCGAGCGAAGGCUUUCUGGGGCUUGCACUAGACGAACGUAGCGGCGAACGGGGGAGUAACACGUAAAGAACCUGACUCAUUGACGGGGGCAACUAUUGGAAACGAUAGCUAAUACCCGAAAACAGUCUUCGUGUCAUGGGAGAGAUUCAACGGUUGGUUAUCCUAACACUGUGAGAUUGCUGUGCGGUGCAUUAGCUAGUUGGUGGGGUAAAGGCCCACAAAGGCGACGAUGCAUAGCCGACCUGAGAGGGUGAUCGGCCACACUGGGACUGAGACACGGCCCAGACUCCUACGGGAGGCAGCAGUAGGGAAUCUUCCGCAAUGGGCGAAAGCCUGACGUAGCAACGCCGCGUGAGUGAAGAAGGAUUUCGGUUCGUAAAGCUCUGUUGUUCGGGAAGAAUGGAUAUGUAGCAAAUCUACAUGUAAGAGACGGUACCUAACCAGAAAGCCAGGGCUAGCUACGUG